rnacentral:rRNA from 1 species
GAUGAACGCUAGCUACAGGCUUAGCACAUGCAAGUCGAGGGGAAACGAUAGAGAAAGCUUGCUUUUUCUAGGCGUCGACCGGCGCACGGGUGAGUAACGCGUAUCCAACCUGCCCACCACUUGGGGAUAAUCGCGGGAAACCGCGUCUAAUGCUCCAUAGUUCCCCGGGUCCGCAUGGGCCCGGGGGGAAAGGUUUGUUCCGGUCGGGGAUGGGCAUGCGGCGCAUUAGGUAGUUGGCGGGGCGACGGCCCACCAAGCCGACGAUGCGUAGGGGUUCUGAGAGGAAGGUCCCCCACAUUGGUACUGAGACACGGGCCAAACUCCUACGGGAGGCAGCAGUGAGGAAUAUUGGUCAAUGGACGGGAGUCUGAACCAGCCAAGUCGCGUGAGGGAUGAAGGUCCUACGGAUUGUAAACCUCUUUUGCCGGGAGUAACGUCGUCCACGAGUGGGCGAGUGAGAGUACCCGGAGAAAAGCAUCGGCUAACUCCGUGCCAGCA